UACGUAGGGUGCAAGCGUUGUCCGGAAUUAUUGGGCGUAAAGCGCGCGCAGGCGGUCCUUUAAGUCUGAUGUGAAAGCCCACGGCUCAACCGAUGAGGGCCAUUGGAAACUGGGGGACUUGAGUGUAGGAGAGGAAAGUGGAAUUCCACGUGUAGCGGUGAAAUGCGUAGAUAUGUGGAGGAACACCAGUGGCGAAGGCGACUUUCUGGCCUAUAACUGACACUGAGGCGCGAAAGCGUAGGUAGCGAACAGG
rnacentral:misc_RNA from 1 species